rnacentral:lncRNA from 1 species
UUUCCUGAGCCCCCAUGCUGUUGCCAGGGAAGGAUCAGGACUAGCAGAGCUUGAGCUCUGUGCACAAGCCACACAAAACCCCUCUGCAUCCCUCGCCACCGAAUCGGCUCAGGGAGAGAAGUUACUGAGCGCCGAUGAAAACAGAGGACCCCGAGCUCCCCUCCUCUGGCAAACCAACCACAAUAACUUCGCCUCAGCCACGGGGAUAUUCGGAAAUCGUUUGCAAGGAGCUCUAUAGAAAAUAGACGAUGGAGUGGGUGCAGCUUUCAAUAUAUUUGCUCUAGGAUAUAGUAACAGGCACUAAAGCAAACACGGGCAGGGGAAUUAGGGCGGGAGCUUCUGCUUCGCUCGUUUUAAAUUACAAAGUGCCGAGACAGCCAGGUCUAGCUACAUUCUAGAGUCAAAGGGCUGCCCCCGUGUGCCCCGGGGAACAUGCACGCAGCCGGCGGAGGCGUUUCCUACAGCUGCAUCGCCUUGUGCCUAGAACGAGCUGGAAAUGUCACUGAACAAAACUAAAUGGAUAAACGGGCUCGGAAAAGCACGUCGCUUCCCGGGGAGACCAGCUGGCCAAUGCGUUCUCCUCUUUGCAGCGAAAAGAAAACAAAACAAAAAGAAAUCAAGUUAAACUUCGCACCUGUCAAAUAGAAAUCUAAUAGGAAAGAGAGCUGUACAUGAUCAAAGUGAAGUCCAGGCUCCAGGAACGUCCAGGAGGACAGUUUCAGGGAAAAAGGGAGACUCCUGAGGCGGGUGUUGACAUUGGAGGCAGAAUUGGAGCCAUGGAAGAGCUGGGGGAUGGAGCAAGGGGCUGCAAGUGGCUCUGGGCACAGAGCUCAUCCUGCACCAAACCCGGAGAGCACAGAUGGAGUCUUGGAGAAGAAAGAGCUAAUCCCGAGUGACCUGACAUCAUCCCCAGCAUGGAGAGCAAGGUGUUGAGCCGGG